rnacentral:rRNA from 1 species
UACGGAGGGUGCGAGCGUUGUCCGGAAUCACUGGGCGUAAAGGGCGCGUAGGCGGCGCGGAUAGUCGGCGGUGAAAGCCCGGAGCUCAACUCCGGGUCGGCCGUCGAUACUUCCGGGCUUGAGCACUGUGGAGGCAGAUGGAAUUCCGGGUGUAGCGGUGGAAUGCGUAGAGAUCCGGAAGAACACCGACGGCGCAGGCAGCGUCCUGGCCGCUUGCUGACACUGAGGCACGAAAGCUGGGGGAGCAAACAGG